rnacentral:rRNA from 1 species
GAUGAACGCUGGCGGCGUGCCUAAUACAUGCAAGUCGAGCGAACAGAUGAGGAGCUUGCUCCUCUGACGUUAGCGGCGGACGGGUGAGUAACACGUGGAUAACCUACCUUUAAGACUGGGAUAACUUCGGGAAACCGUAGCUAAUACCGGAUAAUAUAUUGAACCGCAUGGUUCAAUAGUGAAAGACGGUUUUGCUGUCACUUAUAGAUAGAUCCGCGCCGCAUUAGCUAGUUGGUAAGGUAACGGCUUACCAAGGCAACGAUGCGUAGCCGACCUGAGAGGGUGAUCGGCCACACUGGAACUGAGACACGGUCCAGACUCCUACGGGAGGCAGCAGUAGGGAAUCUGCCGCAAUGGGCGAAAGCCUGACGGAGCAACGCCGCGUGAGUGAUGAAGGUCUUCGGAUCGUAAAACUCUGUUAUUAGGGAAGAACAAAUGUGUAAGUAACUAUGCACGUCUUGACGGUACCUAAUCAGAAAGCCACGGCUAACUACGUG